AGAAUCUUUCGAAAGAAAAAAAAAAAACUAGCAAAGAAGUACCAUUGGUUUGGCCAAACCUUUCUCAUUUGGUUUGGCUCUGUUUUCAGAAUGAUCUCUCUGUUUCUUUCUCUAGCAUUUCUUCCUGACAACAAUCGGUACGUUCUCUGAUACUCAUAUGACUCUUAUGGGAUACUUCUAUGUUUCCUUGUUGUUUGGCUGCCGAGAAAACUGAAGAAACUAUAACCAAAUGAAAUUAAAGUUUUCUGAAAUUUUAAUCUUACGAGUUUUAUUUUUAUUUUAUUUUUUGCCUCACUUCGAAAUGAGGAAAAGCCCAUAUUAGCUAUGUCAAUUCAAUUUUUUGUGUUUCAUGUAAGUUCGGUUUUUUGUUUCCUCGCAGAAUAACAGAAAAUUUGUUUCUACAAUACCUAACUAAUUUCUUUGGUUUUCUCUGCGGCCGAACAUAGGAAUUGGGUUUUUGGUGAAGGGAUUCCUUUACAGUUUUUAAUAAAACUUUUGUUUAAUAAUUUCUACGUUGUUCAGGAUAUAACUCUGUUUUCCUUUUUAGAUUAUUGCUUUCGUGUGGAAGCGCAGGAAGCAGAAAUGGGAACGAGAAACAUCACUUUUUGAGAUUGUUUUGCCCUUUCCAAUAUUUGAGAUUGGUUGGGAUAAUGCAACAGUAGAUAAUAUUUUAGUUUUCGUUGUUGUUCGAAAUUUAUGCAAAUUAAAAACUGAUGGUUCUUUGUGUGAUUUUGGUGGUUGCAUGAUCAUAUGAUCCAUUGAAUUAUGAGCUUUCAGUGGAUUAUGGUAUUCAGUUAGCUCAAAAGGUUUUGUGGGUUUUCCUAUCCUGUUGUGAAAGUUUGGGUUUUUAUAUUAGAGUGUCUAAUUUUGUGUAAACAUUUUGGUUUAUCGGUACUGGACGGUUGGAGGGCGAGUUAAAGAGACUAUUCAUGUAAUGGAUCAUAGUUAUUCCGAGGAAAGUGAUUCAAUUGUUGAUUUGGAAAGUGGUGAGACCACAAGCGAAGAAGAUGGAAUUGAAGACUUGGAUGUGGGUGGUAAGCAUGCAAAGAAAAUGUUGAGUAGGCUGAGGAGUGGAUGUAUUAGUUUUGAUGGAUCAGUGGGGGAUAUUGAUGGAUUAGAUUCAACAAAGACUGUAUUACAGCCUGAUGAGAAUUUGGAGAUAUUGGAAGGUGAGGUGGAAGGAAAGGCAGUGGGUAUGGUGAAGAUGAAAAUGGCAAAUGAGAAAAGGAAAAAGGCGAGCUCUAAGAAGCCUCCCAAGCCACCCCGUCCUCCUACUGGUCCGUUAUUGGAUGCAGCAGAUAUGAAGUUGGUCAGAGAAAUUUCUGAGCUUGCAAGAUUGAGGCGUGCAAGGAUUGAACGAAGGAAGGAAGUGAAGAAAAUGAGAGCAGAUAAAGCAUCAUCUUCAAAUGGUAACCUUGUUGCAUUGGUCAUCACCAUGCUCUUCUUCUUUGUGAUAAUCUUCCAGGGAGUUUGCUUUAGAAGUGUUCAAGUAUUAGUCUCCACAUAUCCAGAGUCCUCAAUGAUAGUAGUUGGUGGUGAGAUUCAAGUUGAAUAGUUUAACACCCUUCUGCUAGGGGACCAAUGGACCUGAUUCUUGGAUCCCCAAGUCUUGCUAAAUCCUUUGUUCCAUGAGGUAUACUUUUGGUAGAUCCCGGAGUCUCCUACAGGUGUGGAUAAUUAAUAGAUCUUUUGGGCAGGAUCUGAUGAAACUCUGGAUCCUGAUUUGUCCAUGUGUGGCAAAGUUAUCAAUCUUUGGUUUCACGGAAAUAUAGCCAGUUUGGUCACAGUUAAUGUUAUCAUUCCCAUGGGGCACAAAGCACAUAGAGCUGGAUUCACAAGGACUCUGGUGCAGGCUCGCGGCUUCAUUUUAUGGUGAAUAUGGCUGUUUAAGGUUCCUAUUGUCCUGUGGCCAGACAUGGAGGAAGGAGUAACUUUUUCCCCCAUUGUCCCCUCUGAUAAGAGAAUGUAACAUCAGCAGAAACUAUUCUGAUGACAUUUCUUUUACAUACAAAAAAAUAUCAUCAAAAACUAUAUUAUGUAUAGAUGAUAUGAAUUUUGUUGUGAACUUCAAUUUAUUUUUCUUCCAUUGUCCACAAUGAUAAGAGAAUGUAAUAGCAUCAUUAUAUGAUUUAUGCAUAAAGUAUGUGGCUUUUCUAUUGAA